UACAGAGGUCUCAAGCGUUGUUCGGAUUCAUUGGGCGUAAAGGGUGCGUAGGCGGCGCGGUAAGUCGGGUGUGAAAUCUCGGAGCUUAACUCCGAAACUGCAUUCGAUACUGCGGUGCUUGAGGACUGGAGAGGAGACUGGAAUUCAUGGUGUAGCAGUGAAAUGCGCAGAUAUCAGGAGGAACACCGGUGGCGAAGGCGGAUCUCUGGGCCGAUACUGACGCUGAGGCACGAAAGCGUGGGGAGCAAACAGG
rnacentral:rRNA from 1 species